UGGGGAAUAUUGGACAAUGGGCGAAAGCCUGAUCCAGCCAUGCCGCGUGUGUGAAGAAGGUCUUCGGAUUGUAAAGCACUUUAAGUUGGGAGGAAGGGCAGUAAGCGAAUACCUUGCUGUUUUGACGUUACCGACAGAAUAAGCACCGGCUAACUCUGUGCCAGCAGCCGCGGUAAUACAGAGGGUGCAAGCGUUAAUCGGAAUUACUGGGCGUAAAGCGCGCGUAGGUGGUUCGUUAAGUUGAAUGUGAAAGCCCCGGGCUCAACCUGGGAACUGCAUCCAAAACUGGCGAGCUAGAGUAGGGCAGAGAGUGGUGGAAUUUCCUGUGUAGCGGUGAAAUGCGUAGAUAUAGGAAGGAACACAAGUGGCGAAGGCGACCACCUGGGCUCAUACUGACACUGAGGUGCGAAAGCGUGGGGAGCAAACAGG
rnacentral:rRNA from 1 species